rnacentral:rRNA from 1 species
UUAAGCGACUAAGCGUACACGGUGGAUGCCCUGGCAGUCAGAGGCGAUGAAGGACGUGCUAAUCUGCGAAAAGCGUCGGUAAGGUGAUAUGAACCGUUACAGCCGGCGAUGUCCGAAUGGGGAAACCCAGUGUGAUUCGUCACACUAUCGUUAACUGAAUACAUAGGUUAACGAGGCGAACCGGGGGAACUGAAACAUCUAAGUACCCCGAGGAAAAGAAAUCAACCGAGAUUCCCCCAGUAGCGGCGAGCGAACGGGGAGCAGCCCAGAGUCUGAAUCAGCUUGUGUGUUAGUGGAACGGUCUGGAAAGUCCGACGGUACAGGGUGAUAGUCCCGUACACCAAAAUGCACAGGCUGUGAACUCGAAGAGUAGGGCGGGACACGUGGUAUCCUGUCUGAAUAUGGGGGGACCAUCCUCCAAGGCUAAAUACUCCUGACUGACCGAUAGUGAACCAGUACCGUGAGGGAAAGGCGAAAAGAACCCCGGCGAGGGGAGUGAAAAAGAACCUGAAACCGUGUACGUACAAGCAGUGGGAGCACCUUCGGGUGUGACUGCGUACCUUUUGUAUAAUGGGUCAGCGACUUAUAUUCUGUAGCAAGGUUAACCGUAUAGGGGAGCCGCAGGGAAACCGAGUCUUAACUGGGCGUUAAGUUGCAGGGUAUAGACCCGAAACCCGGUGAUCUAGCCAUGGGCAGGUUGAAGGUUGGGUAACACUAACUGGAGGACCGAACCGACUAAUGUUGAAAAAUUAGCGGAUGACUUGUGGCUGGGGGUGAAAGGCCAAUCAAACCGGGAGAUAGCUGGUUCUCCCCGAAAGCUAUUUAGGUAGCGCCUCGUGAACUCAUCUUCGGGGGUAGAGCACUGUUUCGGCUAGGGGGUCAUCCCGACUUACCAACCCGAUGCAAACUACGAAUACCGAAGAAUGUUAUCACGGGAGACACACGGCGGGUGCUAACGUCCGUCGUGAAGAGGGAAACAACCCAGACCGCCAGCUAAGGUCCCAAAGUCAUGGUUAAGUGGGAAACGAUGUGGGAAGGCACAGACAGCCAGGAUGUUGGCUUAGAAGCAGCCAUCAUUUAAAGAAAGCGUAAUAGCUCACUGGUCGAGUCGGCCUGCGCGGAAGAUGUAACGGGGCUAAACCAUGCACCGAAGCUGCGGCAGCGACACUAUGUGUUGUUGGGUAGGGGAGCGUUCUGUAAGCCUGCGAAGGUGUGCUGUGAGGCAUGCUGGAGGUAUCAGAAGUGCGAAUGCUGACAUAAGUAACGAUAAAGCGGGUGAAAAGCCCGCUCGCCGGAAGACCAAGGGUUCCUGUCCAACGUUAAUCGGGGCAGGGUGAGUCGACCCCUAAGGCGAGGCCGAAAGGCGUAGUCGAUGGGAAACAGGUUAAUAUUCCUGUACUUGGUGUUACUGCGAAGGGGGGACGGAGAAGGCUAUGUUAGCCGGGCGACGGUUGUCCCGGUUUAAGCAUGUAGGCUGGUUAUCCAGGCAAAUCCGGAUAAUCAAGGCUGAGGUGUGAUGACGAGGCACUACGGUGCUGAAGUAACAAAUGCCCUGCUUCCAGGAAAAGCCUCUAAGCAUCAGGUAACAUCAAAUCGUACCCCAAACCGACACAGGUGGUCAGGUAGAGAAUACCAAGGCGCUUGAGAGAACUCGGGUGAAGGAACUAGGCAAAAUGGUGCCGUAACUUCGGGAGAAGGCACGCUGGUGUGUAGGUGAAGCCCCUGCGGGUGGAGCUGAGACCAGUCGAAGAUACCAGCUGGCUGCAACUGUUUAUUAAAAACACAGCACUGUGCAAACACGAAAGUGGACGUAUACGGUGUGACGCCUGCCCGGUGCCGGAAGGUUAAUUGAUGGGGUUAUCCGUAAGGAGAAGCUCUUGAUCGAAGCCCCGGUAAACGGCGGCCGUAACUAUAACGGUCCUAAGGUAGCGAAAUUCCUUGUCGGGUAAGUUCCGACCUGCACGAAUGGCGUAAUGAUGGCCAGGCUGUCUCCACCCGAGACUCAGUGAAAUUGAACUCGCUGUGAAGAUGCAGUGUACCCGCGGCAAGACGGAAAGACCCCGUGAACCUUUACUAUAGCUUGACACUGAACAUUGAGCCUUGAUGUGUAGGAUAGGUGGGAGGCUUUGAAGCGUGGACGCCAGUCUGCGUGGAGCCAACCUUGAAAUACCACCCUUUAAUGUUUGAUGUUCUAACGUUGGCCCCUGACCGGGGUUGCGGACAGUGUCUGGUGGGUAGUUUGACUGGGGCGGUCUCCUCCCAAAGCGUAACGGAGGAGCACGAAGGUUAGCUAAUCCUGGUCGGACAUCAGGAGGUUAGUGCAAUGGCAUAAGCUAGCUUGACUGCGAGCGUGACGGCGCGAGCAGGUGCGAAAGCAGGUCAUAGUGAUCCGGUGGUUCUGAAUGGAAGGGCCAUCGCUCAACGGAUAAAAGGUACUCCGGGGAUAACAGGCUGAUACCGCCCAAGAGUUCAUAUCGACGGCGGUGUUUGGCACCUCGAUGUCGGCUCAUCACAUCCUGGGGCUGAAGUAGGUCCCAAGGGUAUGGCUGUUCGCCAUUUAAAGUGGUACGCGAGCUGGGUUUAGAACGUCGUGAGACAGUUCGGUCCCUAUCUGCCGUGGGCGCUGGAGAAUUGAGGGGGGCUGCUCCUAGUACGAGAGGACCGGAGUGGACGCAUCACUGGUGUUCGGGUUGUCAUGCCAAUGGCACUGCCCGGUAGCUAAAUGCGGAAGAGAUAAGUGCUGAAAGCAUCUAAGCACGAAACUUGCCCCGAGAUGAGUUCUCCCUGAGACUUUAAGUCUCCUGAAGGAACGUUAAAGACGAUGACGUUGAUAGGCCGGGUGUGUAAGCGCAGCGAUGCGUUGAGCUAACCGGUACUAAUGAACCGUGAGGCUUAACCUU